CCUACGGGAGGCAGCAGUGGGGAAUAUUGCACACUGGGCGAAAGCCUGAUGCAGCAACGCCGCGUGAAGGAAGACGGCUUUCGGAUUGUAAACUUCUAUCAAUAGGGAAGAAAGAACUGACGGUACCUACAUAAGAAGUCCCGGCUAACUACGUGCCAGCAACCGCGGUCAUACGUAGGAGGCAAGCGUUACCCGGAAUUACUGGGUGUAAAGGGAGAGUAGGCGGCAAGGUAAGCGAGAUGUGAAAGCCUUAGGCUUAACCAACGGAUUGCAUAACGAACUAUCUAGCUAGAGUACAGGAGAGGAAAGCGGAAUUCCUGGUGUAGCGGUGAAAUGCGUAGAUAUUAGGAAGAACACCAGUGGCGAAGGCGGCUUUCUGGACUGAAACUGACGCUGAGGCUCGAAAGCGUGGGGAGCGAACAGGAUUAGAUACCCUUGUAGUC
rnacentral:rRNA from 1 species